GAGAAGUGCAAACAGGUUGUGUCUGGGGUGAGAGGGGUCUUUGAUGAUGUUUCCUGCCCGUUUCUUCACUCUGGAGUUAUACAAGUCCUGAAGACUGGGCAGGUGCACACCAAUGAUCCUUUCUGUGGUCCUAACAGUCCAUUGCAAUCUUCUUAAAUCUGAUUUGCUGGCUGACCCAAACCAGACAGUUAUAGAAGAGCACAGAAAAGACGCAAUAAUAGCCGAGUAAAACUGUGUCACAUGUGCCAGUGGCAGGCUGAUCUUUUUCAGCUGACGAAGGAAGUACAACCUCUGCUGGGACUUUUUCACAAUGGAGUCAAUGUGAAUGUCCCACUUCAGGUCCUGAGAGAUGGUGGUGCCCAGGAACCUGAAUGACUCCACUGCAGACACAGUGCUGUCCAUGAUGGUGAGUGGGGGGAGAGCAGGGGGGUUUCUCCUGAAGUCCACAAUCAUCUCCACAGUUUUGAGCGUGUUGAGCUCCAGGUUGCUGUGACUGCACCAGACAGCCAGCUCUUCAACCUCCUGUCUGUAAGCAGACUCGUCACUGUCCUGAAUGAGGCCGAUGACUGUUGUGUCAUCUGCAAACUUCAGGAGCUUGACAGAGGGGUCUUUAGAGGUGCAGUCAUUUGUGUAGAGGGAGAAAAGCAGUGGAGAGAGAACGCAGCCUUGAGGAGCUCCGGUGCUGAUGGUGCGGGUGUUGGAUGUCAUUUUUCCCAGCCUCACUAGCUGCUGUCUGCUUUAGUUUAUUUGUUUAUGGAGGAUUGGGGUGCUAGAAGUUUGUUUCCUAUACGCUGCUUCAGUGUCAAAAGUUGUACUCUCCACUUGGUGGGGGGCUUUCCGCAGUGACGGUACGAGCUUUACGGAGGCCAUUCCCUUUCUGUGUUUCACCAGGGUUUGUGUUUCUUGCUCCUUUCACAUUUAGGCCAUUUGUCCAUGAGCAUUUCCUCCACUGUCUGUUUAUGUUUCUGCCUGUAGUGUCUGAACUCACACCUCCCAAACUGGAGCUGAUCAUGGAGUUUGACUGAUGACCAGACCUUUACAAGCCUCCUUCACCCAAAUGUGCUGAGGAGCGAUCGCAAAACCAUUACACAUGGCCAGUUGCGCUAACUGUUAAGAGCAGUCUGGACUCAAAACAAACAAAAGUUUGACCCACAAAGGUGCUCUUUUUAUAAUGAACAAAUGUUGAGCUGGGCAGCAUCACUUUAACACUUGUGUGGUGAUGUUCAAGUUUUUUUGCUUUACAUUGUGUAUAGCAAUGAUCCCUUUUAAGUAUGUGUACAGGGAGUACUUGGAAAGACAUUGAUUUUGAAGUUAUUACUUUAUUAUAAUUAUUAUUAUCAAUUUAUGUGGCUAUAUGUGUGUGUCUAUUUUCUUAAUUAUAUAAUUUUUUCAAUUUUUGUUUCUUUUUUUAAAUGAAUGCAUUAUAAGUCAAACCAUUAUCAAACUAAAUCCAGUAAUACAAUUUUUUAUUUGUAUAUAAUAUAAUAUAUAUAUAUAUUUUUUAGGAUUCUAUAUUCCUCCUGCUGCUAGGC
ensembl:lncRNA